rnacentral:misc_RNA from 1 species
GAUGAAGAACGUAGUAAAAUGCGAUAAGUAAUGUGAAUUGCAGAAUUCAGUGAAUCAUCGAAUCUUUGAACGCACAUUGCGCCCGCUGGUAUUCCGGCGGGCAUGCCUGUUCGAGCGUCAUUUCAACCCUCAAGCCCCCGGGUUUGGUGUUGGGGAUCGGCUCUGCCCUCUGGGCGGUGCCGCCCCCGAAAUACAUUGGCGGUCUCGCUGCAGCCUCCAUUGCGUAGUAGCUAACACCUCGCAACUGGAACGCGGCGCGGCCAUGCCGUAAAACCCCAACUUCUGAACGUUGACCUCGAAUCAGGUAGGACUACCCGCUGAACUUAAGCAUAUCAAUAAGCGGAGGA